rnacentral:rRNA from 1 species
UACAGAGGUCUCAAGCGUUGUUCGGAUUCACUGGGCGUAAAGCGUGCGUAGGUGGCGGGAAAAGUUUGAGGUGAAAUCUCCGGGCUUAACCCGGAAACGGCCUUAAAUACUGUCUCGCUAGAGUGCUUAAGAGGAGAUUGGAAUUCUCGGUGUAGCAGUGAAAUGCGUAGAUAUCGAGAGGAACACCAGUGGCGAAAGCGAAUCUCUGGGAAGACACUGACACUGAGGCACGAAAGCCAGGGGAGCAAACGGG